rnacentral:rRNA from 1 species
CCUACGGGAGGCAGCAGUGAGGAAUAUUGGUCAAUGGCCGGAAGGCUGAACCAGCCAUGCCGCGUGAAGGUCAGUGCCCUAUGGGCGUUAAACUUCUUUUGUGCGGGAGCAAUAAUGGUCACGUGUGGCCAGACGAGAGUACCGUACGAAUAAGCAUCGGCUAACUCCGUGCCAGCAGCCGCGGUAAUACGGGGGAAGCAAGCGUUAUCCGGAUUUAUUGGGUUUAAAGGGUGCGUAGGCUGUGAGGUAAGUCAGCGGGGAAAUGCCCCCGCUCAACGGGGUGAAGUGCCAUUGAUACUGCCUUGCUGGAAUGCGGAUGCCGUGGGAGGAAUGUGUGGUGUAGCGGUGAAAUGCAUAGAUAUCACACAGAACACCGAUUGCGAAGGCAUCUCACGAAUCCGCGAUUGACGCUGAUGCACGAAAGCGUGGGUAUCAAACAGGAUUAGAUACCCCGGUAGUC